UACCCGCUGAACUUAAGCAUAUCAAUAAGCGGAGGAAAAGAAACCAACAGGGAUUGCCUUAGUAACGGCGAGUGAAGCGGCAAAAGCUCAAAUUUGAAAUCUGGCACCUUCGGUGUCCGAGUUGUAAUUUGAAGAAGGUAACUUUGGAGUUGGCUCUUGUCUAUGUUCCUUGGAACAGGACGUCACAGAGGGUGAGAAUCCCGUGCGAUGAGAUGCCCAAUUCUAUGUAAAGUGCUUUCGAAGAGUCGAGUUGUUUGGGAAUGCAGCUCUAAGUGGGUGGUAAAUUCCAUCUAAAGCUAAAUAUUGGCGAGAGACCGAUAGCGAACAAGUACAGUGAUGGAAAGAUGAAAAGAACUUUGAAAAGAGAGUGAAAAAGUACGUGAAAUUGUUGAAAGGGAAGGGCUUGAGAUCAGACUUGGUAUUUUGCGAUCCUUUCCUUCUUGGUUGGGUUCCUCGCAGCUUACUGGGCCAGCAUCGGUUUGGAUGGUAGGAUAAUGACUAAGGAAUGUGGCUCUACUUCGGUGGAGUGUUAUAGCCUUGGUUGAUACUGCCUGUCUAGACCGAGGACUGCGUCUUUGACUAGGAU
rnacentral:rRNA from 1 species